CUGCAACUGGGUCAUUUUCUGCACCUGCAGGUUGAGUUUACAGAGCAUGUACAACAAAUGGGACUACCAUCUCCAGCUCUAAUCAAGACAUAGGGCUGGAAUCCAUUUGCAAGAUAACGACAACAUUGUGGUGGAGACCUUCACAUGAAUAAUGUCCAAGGUUAAAAUCCAGACUGGGGCCUUCCUGUGUGCAGUUGACUACCAACCUGUCCAUGGUGUACCCCACCCCCGCCCUAUGACAGCUGGGAUUAAGCUCAGCCCCUCAUGUGACUCUGAAUUGGAUAAAUGGAAGAAAAUGAAUAGACUGACAAUUAAAUCAUUUUAUAUAUAGUCUGUAGGUUACACAGGAGUGAUGUUACCCCUGUGUUUGUAUGACAUAGCUCACCCUUUUGUCAGAUACUACCUGACAAGAAGUCAGCCACCUGUGUAGACACACACAGCCUUUAAGCUCAACUUACCAUUGAUUGACCCUUAAAAACCUUUUUCUAGUUUUUUUGUUCAUUGAUAAUUAUCUACUUGUUUUUCCAGGAACAGCCUAAUUUUUGCGAAGCCAGUGUUAUUUCAUACUGAAUGAAAAGUUCAUAAAUCUUUCCCCCCCGUUAUAGUGAUUUGGUGUCUUAGGAACAAAAAUUCAAGAUUUGUUGUUUAGCCAACAAAUUGACAAACUGUAGCCAUUAUGGUUUCCCCCCUCUUUUUUCCAUUUCAUGCUGAGGUACUUUAAUCAGACGGCAGUAAAAGUUAAGUCCAUUUCCUGUCUGUCAGGAAAACAUUCCUUCCAUCCUGAGUCAUCAGUGUGAAAAGUGUUUGCAAAGUAGAUAAUUUAAUUAAGAAUAAUCUGCUUUGAUUUCAGAUAAAGAAAACAGGAAGGAACGCUAACGAUAACAAGUCACUUCAUUGCUGCAGGAAAUCUUGUCCCAUAGUUGAUCAAAAUACUUGUUUACAGGGCUGCUUAUAGGCUUCUACUACAGGAACCCAUAGAAAUUCGCUGCAAUGACAACUCAACUUUAAGUAGACGUGCACAAAUGGAAACAAUCAUUUUAAAAAGGAGAGUCCAUCGCACAGCAAGUCCAGAAAACAAAUACAGCUUUUAUUUGAGCAGCUCACUCUGUCAGUUAAGGUUUUUUGGUUUAUUUCCAGACUGCCAACUAGUGCAAAGUCACAUGUCCGCAGAUGCUCUGGAAGUGGUUUUUGUGGACUUGUUCCAUAACAGUCUGAAGUCCAGAUUUUCACCUUUGUUGAAUUUGAAGCAAAGUAAAUCGCAAUCUU